rnacentral:misc_RNA from 1 species
AAANGAGGUAUCAAUACCCAGUGGCGGACGGGUGAUGUUUACGUAGGUAACCUGAGAAAAAAGUGGGGGAUACCCAUCCGAAAGGAUGGCUAAUACCGCAUACCUUGUGGAGUUGGAAUACUCUUCAAGAAAGAUUUAUCGCUAUGACAGGGGCCUGCCUACGAUUAGCUAGUUGGUGAGGUAACGGCUCACCAAGGCGACAAUCGUUAGCUGGUCUGACAGGACGAUCAACCACUCUGGUUCUGAUACACGGUCCAGACUCCUACGGGAGGCUUCUUUGGG